rnacentral:rRNA from 1 species
GACGAACGCUGGCGGCGUGCUUAACACAUGCAAGUCGAACGGUGAAGGGGUCUGCUUUUGUGGGCCCUGGAUGAGUGGCGAACGGGUGAGUAACACGUGAGUAACCUGUCCCCUUCUUCUGGAUAACCGCAUGAAAGUGUGGCUAAUACGGGAUAUUCUGGGUCUGUCGCAUGAUGGGUCUGGGAAAGAUUGCGCCUUUGGGUGUUUUUGGUGGGGGAUGGGCUCGCGGCCUAUCAGCUUGUUGGUGGGGUGAUGGCCUACCAAGGCGGGGACGGGUAGCCGGCCUGAGAGGGUGGACGGUCACACUGGGACUGAGACACGGCCCAGACUCCUACGGGAGGCAGCAGUGGGGAAUAUUGCACAAUGGGCGCAAGCCUGAUGCAGCGACGCCGCGUGAGGGAUGGAGGCCUUCGGGUUGUAAACCUCUUUCGCCAGUGAAGCAGGCCUGCUCCGUGUGGGUGGGUUGACGGUAGCUGGAUAAGAAGCGCCGGCUAACUACGUG